AUGUUGCCAAUGGAGUUAAACGGUCCUCCAUUUCGUCAACCAACAACUCCAGCAACUGCCGAGCAAUCUCAUGUGCAAGUACCCACACAAGAUGAAUUUGAUGAUAUAGACAAGCUCACAUUGCUUAGUCUCGAGUUCACUUGGAGUGCUGAAGAUGAUCCAAUUAGGCCGGUGAUACUAGAUGAAAUGAAGAAGAUCAAGACUGGAAAAGAGCUACUGGAAGAAGUAAGGAAGAUUGAGAAGAACAUCAACGCUGGCAGCACUAUUUCUUCACAGCUUGAGCUGAGUGUUUCUAGGAUUCCUCUUGAUACAUGUGAGUUUCUAACACCUUCACAUUCAGCUGAGCAAGAUAGCGAGAUUCCAGAGGAAGAGAUGCUUCAGAUCCAAGAAGAAAUUCUUGAAGCCAAGUCACAAGAUGAUCCAGAGCUCGAAUACCCAAAUGAACAAGUUGAAGAUCCAAUGUCUACUACUUCCGAAGAAGUAAAAGAAGCUGUUGUAGAUGAAGAUGAAGAACCUGAGAUUCAUUUGCCUAUUGUUAUACAAGAGAGUGAUGUGCCAGGUUCAUUCAAUCCUCUUAAUGACAUGUCCCAUUAUGUUUUGUUUGACUCUACCUUGCUUUACAUGAUGCCAUCACUUAAGGUAGAUUUAAAGAAGUGUUUGCUUGGAUAUGAUGAUACAUAUACUGUUGAUGGAAUUGCUCAUAUUAAUGAUGAUCACACUUAUUUUCCUCAUGCCAAGCCUAUGCUUAAUGAUAAAUAUCAUCUUACUGCUAGUAUUGAGCUAGUUGAUUCCUAUAAUACUCGUCAUGUUCUAUAUUCCUAUGUUUAUAUAAUUGGAUACUCGAUUGAUGACUUAGAGGGCAUCGACCCUAUCACUCUUAGUUGUUGUUUGUGUGUGUCCUAUUUCAGGUUUUUGCUUGUGCACGAAUCAAUGUAUGUUGACCAGGUUCGAGGUGACAUCCCUUGGGAUCCCGGUGGAGUUAGAGCAUGGCGAUGA
rnacentral:rRNA from 1 species